AACGCACAUUGCACCCGGUGGUAUUCCGCCGGGUAUGCCUGUUCGAGCGUCAUUUCUGCCCUCAGGUCUUGUUGCUUGCUGCAUCUGCAGCGGCUUCAGGUUACUGGUGUUGGGGAGCUGCAGCAGCGCUGUUUAUUUACAGCGUCACGCUGCAUUCCCUGAAAUUUACCGGCGCACGUGCUGUAGUUGGUUGUCCUUUGCGUAGUGGUUUUAAUACUUUUCUCGCACCGGGCCGCAGCGCUGUGUAGCCGCUAAAAGUCAUGACAAAACAAAAGCUUGACCUCGAAUCAGGUAGGGUUACCCGCUGAACUUAA
rnacentral:misc_RNA from 1 species